rnacentral:rRNA from 1 species
UUAAACGAGAGUUUGAUCCUGGCUCAGGACGAACGCUGGCGGCGUGCCUAAUACAUGCAAGUGGAACGCAUUGGUAACACCGGACUUGCUCCAGUGUUACUAAUGAGUCGCGAACGGG